AGCGCAGGCGGGAAGACAAGUUGGAAGUGAAAUCCAUAGGCUCAACCCAUGAACUGCUUUCAAAACUGUUUUUCUUGAGUAGUGCAGAGGUAGGCGGAAUUCCCGGUGUAGCGGUGGAAUGCGUAGAUAUCGGGAGGAACACCAGUGGCGAAGGCGGCCUACUGGGCACCAACUGACGCUGAGGCUCGAAAGUGUGGGUAGCAAACA
rnacentral:rRNA from 1 species